rnacentral:misc_RNA from 1 species
GAUGAAGAACGCAGCGAAAUGCGAUAAGUAAUGUGAAUUGCAGAAUUCAGUGAAUCAUCGAAUCUUUGAACGCACCUUGCGCCCUUUGGCUAUUCCGAAGGGCAUGCCUGUUUGAGUAUCGUGAACACCUCAACUCUCAUGGUUUGCCAUGAUGAGCUUGGACUUUGGGGGUUUUGCUGGCCUUUGGUCGGCUCCUCUCAAACGGAUCAGCUUUCCAGUGUUUGGUGGCGUCACGGGUGUGAUAACUAUCUACGCCUGUGGUUUUCUGCCAGAUAACCUUCAGCGAUGGAGGUUCGCUGGGGCUCAUAAAUGUCUCUCUUCAGUGGAGACAGCUUUUUGGACGUUUGAUCUCAAAUCAGGUAGGACUACCCGCUGAACUUAAGCAUAUCAAUAACGGAGGA